AGGGAGAUGGACAGAGCCCGGCCGGCCGGGAGGCGCCUCGCGCGUGGACUCUGCCCUCCGCCCUCCUCCCCCAUCGCUCCCUGGACCACCGCGACUGUCCUUAAGGCGCAGGCCGCGGAUCCCUUCCACCCCUGAGUAAGGAUCUUGAAAGAGAACUGCUAGAGAAGGAUUGGAAGGCGUGGAGGGGAAGAUAAGACGGCUUUGCUACAACCAGAGCCGGAGACCAGCCUGCACCAGGCAGAGGUGAAGGUGGAGACCAACCAACAGAAGCCAUGGUGCCCAGGGGUCCCCAGAGGACUCAGCGAAGGACCGUAGUCUUGGCCAACUUGAGCAUCUGAGAAGCUAUAAAUUGAGAGUGGUAAAAAUUGAGCAACCUUAACUGGAGAAAAUUUCCACAGACCUCGAAAUACUAAAGAAUGCAUCUGACCAGGGAGUUCACAGGCCCAGAGACAGCAGGUGAGUGGCCAUGAGUUCUUCCUUGUUGGGAACGCUCUCCAGCUUCUGGUUCCAUGAGGGAAAUUGAUAAUUAUGAGCCUUCAGGUCUGGUCUCGUCUCAGCUUUCUGGUCGUCUCAACUCUUAGUUGUGAUUGAGUGAUGUCCAGAUAACAGGAACGGUUUUUACAAGUGAAUUUUUUUA